GACGAACGCUGGCGGCGUGCCUAAUACAUGCAAGUCGAACGAACUCUGGUAUUGAUUGGUGCUUGCAUCAUGAUUUACAUUUGAGUGAGUGGCGAACUGGUGAGUAACACGUGGGAAACCUGCCCAGAAGCGGGGGAUAACACCUGGAAACAGAUGCUAAUACCGCAUAACAACUUGGACCGCAUGGUCCGAGCUUGAAAGAUGGCUUCGGCUAUCACUUUUGGAUGGUCCCGCGGCGUAUUAGCUAGAUGGUGGGGUAACGGCUCACCAUGGCAAUGAUACGUAGCCGACCUGAGAGGGUAAUCGGCCACAUUGGGACUGAGACACGGCCCAAACUCCUACGGGAGGCAGCAGUAGGGAAUCUUCCACAAUGGACGAAAGUCUGAUGGAGCAACGCCGCGUGAGUGAAGAAGGGUUUCGGCUCGUAAAACUCUGUUGUUAAAGAAGAACAUAUCUGAGAGUAACUGUUCAGGUAUUGACGGUAUUUAACCAGAAAGCCACGGCUAACUACGUGCCAGCAGCCGCGGUAAUACGUAGGUGGCAAGCGUUGUCCGGAUUUAUUGGGCGUAAAGCGAGCGCAGGCGGUUUUUUAAGUCUGAUGUGAAAGCCUUCGGCUCAACCGAAGAAGUGCAUCGGAAACUGGGAAACUUGAGUGCAGAAGAGGACAGUGGAACUCCAUGUGUAGCGGUGAAAUGCGUAGAUAUAUGGAAGAACACCAGUGGCGAAGACGGCUGUCUGGUCUGUAACUGACGCUGAGGCUCGAAAGUAUGGGUAGCAAACAGGAUUAGAUACCCUGGUAGUCCAUACCGUAAACGAUGAAUGCUAAGUGUUGGAGGGUUUCCGCCCUUCAGUGCUGCAGCUAACGCAUUAAGCAUUCCGCCUGGGGAGUACGGCCGCAAGGCUGAAACUCAAAGGAAUUGACGGGGGCCCGCACAAGCGGUGGAGCAUGUGGUUUAAUUCGAAGCUACGCGAAGAACCUUACCAGGUCUUGACAUACUAUGCAAAUCUAAGAGAUUAGACGUUCCCUUCGGGGACAUGGAUACAGGUGGUGCAUGGUUGUCGUCAGCUCGUGUCGUGAGAUGUUGGGUUAAGUCCCGCAACGAGCGCAACCCUUAUUAUCAGUUGCCAGCAUUAAGUUGGGCACUCUGGUGAGACUGCCGGUGACAAACCGGAGGAAGGUGGGGAUGACGUCAAAUCAUCAUGCCCCUUAUGACCUGGGCUACACACGUGCUACAAUGGAUGGUACAACGAGUUGCGAACUCGCGAGAGUAAGCUAAUCUCUUAAAGCCAUUCUCAGUUCGGAUUGUAGGCUGCAACUCGCCUACAUGAAGUCGGAAUCGCUAGUAAUCGCGGAUCAGCAUGCCGCGGUGAAUACGUUCCCGGGCCUUGUACACACCGCCCGUCACACCAUGAGAGUUUGUAACACCCAAAGUCGGUGGGGUAACCUUUUAGGAACCAGCCGCCUAAGGUGGGACAGAUGAUUAGGGUG
rnacentral:rRNA from 1 species